AGAGUUUGAUCCUGGCUCAGAUUGAGCGCUGGCGGCAUGCCUUACACAUGCAAGUCGAACGGCAGCAUGAUCUAGCUUGCUAGAUUGAUGGCGAGUGGCGAACGGGUGAGUAAUACAUCGGAACGUGCCCUGUAGUGGGGGAUAACUAGUCGAAAGAUUAGCUAAUACCGCAUACGACCAGAGGGUGAAAGUGGGGGACCGCAAGGCCUCAUGCUAUAGGAGCGGCCGAUGUCUGAUUAGCUAGUUGGUGGGGUAAAGGCCCACCAAGGCGACGAUCAGUAGCUGGUCUGAGAGGACGAUCAGCCACACUGGGACUGAGACACGGCCCAGACUCCUACGGGAGGCAGCAGUGGGGAAUUUUGGACAAUGGGCGAGAGCCUGAUCCAGCAAUGCCGCGUGUGUGAAGAAGGCCUUCGGGUUGUAAAGCACUUUUGUCCGGAAAGAAAUGGCUCUGGUUAAUACCUGGGGGCGAUGACGGUACCGGAAGAAUAAGGACCGGCUAACUACGUGCCAGCAGCCGCGGUAAUACGUAGGGUCCAAGCGUUAAUCGGAAUUACUGGGCGUAAGCGUGCGCAGGCG
rnacentral:rRNA from 1 species